AUAAAACUAAUCCAAAUGAACUGAGCGGUUUAGUCCAAAUUUUCUGAAGAGACUAGAUCGCUUUAUAUGAUGAACAAAUUAAAUUACAAUGAGGUUCAUUCUUGUGUGUUACGCAGCACGUUUGAGUUACAGCAAGAACCAAUGAGGUUUGUUCUUGCGCGUCAAGCAGGUUCGGUUGAGCGUCUGUUUAUUUUCGCUGCUCAAUGUUUAUAAGUGAAUAAAAGCCUAAAUUAAAUCUGUUUAUUAUAUAAAGUAAUCAAGUCUCUUCAGAAAAUUUACACUAAACCUCUCAAUUCAUAUGGAUUACUUUUACGAUCUCUUUAUGAACUUUUUGAAGCGUAGAUGUCAAUGGAGGGACAGAAAUCGCACAAACUUUAUUAAAAAUUAUGGAGCCCCGGACAUAGGGUUGGGUAUCAAGAACUGGUUCCAUUUUAGAACCGGUUCCAAAUUUCAAAGAACCGGGGAUUCGAUAUGAUGAUGCGCAUUUCGAUUCUGUUUAUCGAUUCCUGUCAUUCACACACGGCGAACGGCAGUGAGCAUUUUACAGUUGUAUCUGCCAGGACCUGUGACAAGGACCUUAUCUCAUUACGCACAUGCGCAGUUCAUUACAAUCGGCACUGACUGACCGCAGGAAACGUUCGAAAGUUUGGUUAAACUUUGUGAAAAAGGAUGAUUGCAUUGCCAAAUGCAAUACAUGUAGUAAAGACAUUUCGUGUAAGGGAGGAAGUACGUCUAAUAUGAUGGAACAUUUGCUUCAACAUGGUAUCAAUCUGAGGGAAUGCACCGUGUUUAAUUCUCCCAGCCGCGAGUCCUGUUACAACUCACCAGACACAGCUAAUAGCAAUAGCAGCGUCUCACACUCAGAGACUCCUUUCACUGUAGCCAUGAAGGGCAAGAUGAGCAAGGAGAAAGUGGAUGAAUGUCACAGGGUGCCAGGCUUCGUCCUAGACCUUCCAUUCACCAAAGAUCCUCUGAAUCCAACUGGUUCUCUUUCAUCAAGACAAUAUCAGCAAAGAUUUCAUCAGGACAGUUUUAAUUCAAAUGAGCGAGACAUGCAAGUAUCAAACUUAGUCUCAUUAUUUGAUACAUUAAGUAUCCUUACCUCUUUUAAAGAAGGGCCUGUUAAAACUAAACUGAUAGUUUGCUCAAGGCUGUUGAUCUGCUGAAUUUCAAACAAUGCUGUAACUUCUUGCUUUCCUGUACUCUGCUUCAGCUCUCUCUUUCUUUUGGUAAACUAUGCAUGUAUGUGUGUGAAUGUUAGAGUAGUUAAGUGUUUAGUCCAGUUAAUAAAGUCUUGUUCAUGUCACA